rnacentral:rRNA from 1 species
AGUAGCCGCGGUAAUUCCAGCUCCAAUAGCGUAUAUUAAAGUUGCUGCAGUUAAAAAGCUCGUAGUUGAAUUUCGGGACUAAUAUGUCGGUCGUGCCUCGGUACGUACUGGUUUAUUGGUUUCUCCUUUCUGAAGAACCAUGAUGUCAUUUAUUUGGUGUCGUGGGGAAUCAGGACUGUUACUUUGAAAAAAAUUGAGUGUUUAAAGCAGGCUCACGCUUGAAUACAUUAGCAUGGAAUAAUGAAAUAGGACGUUUGAUUCUAUUUUGUUGGUUUCUAGGAUCGACGUAAUGAUUAAUAGGGAUAGUUGGGGGCAUUAGUAUUCAAUUGUCAGAGGUGAAAUUCUUGGAUUUAUUGAAGACUAACUACUGCGAAAGCAUUUGCCAAGG